rnacentral:misc_RNA from 1 species
AAGUUAAGGUUAGUAUGUUAACUCCUUAUUUUUCCAUUUAAAUGCAUAAUUAGUGUUUGAAAUGAGCCUAGAACUUGAUUAAAUGAAAUGAAAAUAUGGGGGGAAGAACUAUUAUUGAAAUUUCGUCCAGCUUGGAGGGAGUAUGAUUUUGUAUGGCUUGAGGGUUUUGAAUGAGUUUAGGAACUUUACUUAGUUGAUUGAUUAGCAUU